GCUGUGUAAAGGGUAUAGGGUAGUGGUGUCUGUGUGAGAGAGGGCUGUGUUAAGGGUAAAGGGCAGUGGUGUCUGUGAGAGAGAGGGCUGUGUUAAGGGUAUAGGGUAGUGGUGUCUGUGUGAGAGAGGGCUGUGUUAAUGGUAUAGGGUAGUGGUGUCUGUGUGAGAGAGGGCUGUGUUAAGGGUAAAGGGCAGUGGUGUCUGUGAGAGAGAGGGCUGUGUUAAGGGUAUAGGGUAGUGGUGUCUGUGUGAGAGAGGGCUGUGUUAAGGGUAAAGGGCAGUGGUGUCUGUGAGAGAGAGGGCUGUGUUAAUGGUAUAGGGUAGUGGUGUCUAUCAGAGAGAGGGCUGUGUUAAGGGUAAAGGGUAGUGGUGUCUGUGAGAGAGAGGGCUGUGUUAAGGGUAAAGGGUAGUGGUGUCUAUGAGAGAGGGCUGUGUUAAGGGUAAAGGGUAGUGGUGUCUAUGAGAGAGGGCUGUGUUAAGGGUAAAGGGCAGUGGUGUCUGUGAGAGGGCUGUGUUAAUGGUAUAGGGUAGUGGUGUCUAUCAGAGAGAGGGCUGUGUUAAGGGUAAAGGGUAGUGGUGUCUGUGAGAGAGAGUGCUGUGUUAAGGUAAAGGGUAGUGGUGUCUAUCAGAGAGGGCUGUGUUAAGGUAAAGGGUAGUGGUGUCUAUCAGAGAGGGCUGUGUUAAGGGUAAAGGGUAGUGG
rnacentral:lncRNA from 1 species